rnacentral:sRNA from 1 species
ACCCGCUGAACUUAAGCAUAUCAAUAAGCGGAGGAAAAGAAACCAACAGGGAUUGCCCCAGUAACGGCGAGUGAAGCGGCAACAGCUCAAAUUUGAAAUCUGGUCCCCCCGCGGGGCCCGAGUUGUAAUUUGAAGAGGAUGCUUCUGGCAAGGUGCCGUCCGAGUUCCCUGGAACGGGACGCCGCAGAGGGUGAGAGCCCCGUACGGUCGGACGCCGAGCCUCUGUGAAGCUCCUUCGACGAGUCGAGUAGUUUGGGAAUGCUGCUCAAAAUGGGAGGUAAACCCCUUCUAAAGCUAAAUACCGGCCAGAGACCGAUAGCGCACAAGUAGAGUGAUCGAAAGAUGAAAAGCACUUUGAAAAGAGAGUUAAAAAGCACGUGAAAUUGUUGAAAGGGAAGCGCUUGCGACCAGACUCGCGCCCGUCGGAUCAGCCGUCGCUCGUCGGCGGCGCACUCCGGCGGGCUCGGGCCAGCAUCAGUUCGCCUCGGGGGGAGAAAGGCGGCGGGAAUGUGGCUCUACGGAGUGUUAUAGCCCGCCGCGUAAUACCCCCGGGCGGACUGAGGACCGCGCGUAUGCAAGGAUGCUGGCGUAAUGGUCGUCAGCGACCCGUCUUGAAACACGGACCAAGGAGUCGUCCUAAUAUGCGAGUGUACGGGUGUCAAACCCCUGCGCGUAAUGAAAGUGAACGGAGGUGAGAGCUUCGGCGCAUCAUCGACCGAUCCUGAUGUUCUCGGAUGGAUUUGAGUAAGAGCAUAUUGGGCCGGACCCGAAAGAAGGUGAACUAUGCCUGUGUAGGGUAAAGCCAGAGGAAACUCUGGUGGAGGCUCGCAGCGGUUCUGACGUGCAAAUCGAUCGUCAAACAUGGGCAUGGGGCGAAAGACUAAUCGAACUGC